UAUUGUCAGCUUGAUUGGUGCAGGAUCACCUUGGAAUCCCGCUUCUGCUCUGACUGUACUGACGCUUCCAGAGAGGAACGACUAAGGAGCAGAGGCCACCUCGGAUGUGGCUGGCACCAUCUCACAGGGCCCUGGGCUGACUGCAAAGGAGAAAGGCUCCUGUCUAGGAUGAGAGGAAGCAGCUGAAAGGAGAGGUGCACCCAUGUCCUCUGGGAUCAAAACCUGCCAACAUCUCUCCUCCUCAGCUUAGCCCGGAGUCAGGUGCCCUGGACUCUAAUGUGAAACCAGCCUACCUCUGAGCAUCUGAAAAGGAGACUCCUCGCCCUCCCACAGCAGGUUCCAGCCUGUGUACAACCAGGAACACAUAGCUCCCUCCCCUGAAGGAAUCAGACUUCUCCAUCAGGACUGCUCAAAGCCCAUGGAUAUUCUAAGAGAGGAAGAGAUGGCUCCAUGGGUAAAAAUAAUGGAAACGCAAGCAGGAGGUCCUGGGUUUGGAUCCCCAACUGUCAAGCAAAAGCCAAGCAUAACAACAUGUCUGCAAUGCCAGCACUGGUCACCCUGGAGACAAGCGAAUGUCAGGGCUCACUGGCCAGCCUAGCUGAAAUGUGAGCUCCAGGCUCUGAGAGAGCCUGCUGCAAAACAUAAGGAAAAGAUGGCUCCACUGCUAAAGUCACUCGCAGUUGUUGCAGAGGGCCUGAGUUCUCUUUCCAGUGCCCACAUUAAGGAAGAUCACAGUCGCAUCCAACUCAGGCUCCAGGACCCAAUGUCCUUGUCUCAAUUUCACAGGUAACCUCACUCACUUGCAUACAAGCACAUAUACACAUAGUUCUAAAAAAAUAGCAAAAAUAAAUCUUAAAACAAAAAUAAGGUAGAGUACUAAGUGAUACUUAAAGUCAACUUCUGACCAAGUGUGUCUGCACCUGAGUGCACACACAUACAGUGCACAUACACUGCACAUAGACCAGCAGUUCUCAACCUAUAGGUCAUGACCCCUUUGGGGGCUGUCAAAUAACUCACAGGGGUUACCUAAGGGCUAUGGGAAAAUACACAUAUUUGCAUUAUAAUUCAUAACAAAAUUACUGAAGUAGCAACAGAAUAAUUUUAUGGCUGCGAUCACCACAACACGAGGAGCCACGUUAAAGGGUCGUGGCAUUAGGAAGGUCGAGAACCACUGCCUUAGACCUUUCAAAAGGCACUCAAAGCCCUCAGCUCCAGACACAAAAGGACACCAUCAACCACAGAAUGGACAGAGGGAAACCCCUCAGACUAGAUGCAGAAUGCUGUGACCACAGAGCCUCCUGAACUCAGCUGCUGAGGCACCACAGUGAGGAGCACUGAUGUCAGAGUGGAACACCACCCCAUCACCCUCAGCUGCUGACUUCUGUCAAGGUCUUCAUUUGGGAGUCAGUGAACAUCAGUGGUACACAGUGCAGAGCACCCAGGCUUCUCAGGGCACACAGAGCCUCCCCAAGUAUAAACCCUGGUAGGUUAAAUGACAGAAAAUGGCCCCAAACAUCCUAAGUCAUUGUUACCAUCCUUGUUGGGUUUGCCCUGAACCAAGUUAGACCCUGAGCCCAGGGAUUGAAUAGUACUUGGGGAUGGUGUAAAUCUUUGGGGGUCCCUAGUCACAAAAGUGCUUUAAAUGUUUGUGUCAGGGCAAAUAUACUUCUUACCCCUGAUCAGAGAGAGAGGAAGAGAGAGAGAGAGAGAGAGAGAGAGAGAGAGAGAGAGAGAGAGAGAGAGAGCUUACCUCUAGCCAGUCCAUGCCUGGACGGAUGAGGGAAGACAGCACACACAUCUCCUCCUAGACGUUUGCUUGGGGUGAUAAAUAUCUCCGAUUUUUAUUGCGAAUGAGAUCUUUCUUGUCCAUUAUUUUUUCUUCUAAGCGGUUACUGUUGGACAUAGGAAAGGUAUUGAUUUUUUUCACAUUUAUUUUGUAGCUGGCUGCCUUACUGAACUCUCAUUAUUUCUAAUAGUUUUUCAGUUUGAAUUUCCCAAAGGGAAAGGGGUUUAAGCAGCAAGACAAGGUAAGCAAAAUUACAUGAAAUCCACUGUCACUACUGUCUGUGUUCUGUGGAAGUGUGGAAAGCUGGGAUAAGAAUACACGUGUUAUACAUGUGAACCCUGUUUCUAUGCACCCUGACAUCUCAGCAUCCUGCUUGCUCACUGCACUCCUGGAGGUGGUGUCUCUCCAAUAUAGUAAAGACAGCUUUGGAACCCAGA
rnacentral:lncRNA from 1 species